GUGGCGACCGGCGCACGGGUGAGUAACGCGUAUGCAACCUACCUUGUACAGGGGGAUAGCCCGAAGAAAUUCGGAUUAAUACCCCAUAGUAUUAUAGAAUGGCAUUAUUUUAUAAUUAAAGUUUCGGCGGUACAAGAUGGGCAUGCGUCCUAUUAGCUAGAUGGUGAGGUAACGGCUCACCAUGGCUACGAUAGGUAGGGGGCCUGAGAGGGUGGUCCCCCACACUGGUACUGAGACACGGACCAGACUCC
rnacentral:rRNA from 1 species